rnacentral:tRNA from 1 species
GGGCGGUUAGCUCAGUCGGUUGGAGCGCUUGCCUUACAAGCAAGAGGCCAUUGGUUCGAGUCCAAUACCGCCCACCA